rnacentral:rRNA from 1 species
UGAGGAACAUGACCUUCGGCGGGGGAGUAGCCGGCCCAACGGCCGGGUAAUACCGCGUACGACCACAUGGGGACAUCCCUGAGUGGUGAAAGCAGCAAUGCGCCGAUGGAGUGCCUCGCGGCCUAUCAGCUAGUUGGUGAGGUAACGGCUCACCAAGGCGACGACGGGUAGCUGGUCUGAGAGGAUGGCCAGCCACAUUGGGACUGAGACACGGCCCAGACCUNUACCGGGGAGG